UCCCACUGUCCCUGUCUAC
rnacentral:snRNA from 1 species